rnacentral:tRNA from 2 species
ACCCCUAUAGCUCAGUGGAUAGAGCAACGGGUUUCUACCCCGUGAGUCGGGAGUUCGAAUCUCUCUAGGGGUGCUA